GGGACCCACUGCCCAGCCUGCGGGCAGCCCAGGCUGCCAGAGAUGCCCACUCCCCCCUCCCAGACGUGGGCUGGACCUUCUCUCUGUGCAGCUAAGUCAUGCUCCCAGACUGGCACAGGUGACAACGGGAGGGUGGGUGGGCACAGAGCCUGCCUGAGGGGCACAGGGCCAGGAAGAAGGCCCCCAUGGCACAGCAACAGACACCUGAGAACUCGCCCUGAUGGGCACCUCUGCAGAGGUGUAGCAUGACACCCAGCACUUGGGGACCAUGACCUGACCUCAGCCCCCGGGACCUGACCCCGACCAACGUGGGGAGAAAGUGAGAUGGGGGUAAGCAGGCAUCUUGCCACAGCCAGGUUCCCCCUAAGAGCAGAGAGCGGCUCCAAUGGCUGCCAGGCUGGAGACAAACCUCAGCUCCCAAGAGCCUCAGGCUGAAAGUGGACAGACACCCUUGACCCUGGGAGGCCCAGACAAACCCAAUCAACGCUUACCCAUUGGGGGAAAUCUCCACUGUACAGUCUCCCUUCUCAUCCCCAUCACUGUGCCC
rnacentral:lncRNA from 1 species